rnacentral:other from 1 species
AUCGAGAAGUAGGUUCCACUAAAACAAGGAUUGAAAC